rnacentral:misc_RNA from 1 species
GAUGAAGAACGUAGCGAAAUGCGAUAACUAAUGUGAAUUGCAGAAUUCCGUGAAUCAUCGAGUCUUUGAACGCACAUUGCGCCCCCUGGUAUUCCGGGGGGCAUGCCUGUCCGAGCGUCAUUGCAACCCUCAAGCGCGGCUUGUGUGUUGGGCUUCGUCCCCCCGUGGACGUGCCCGAAAGGCAGUGGCGGCGUCCCGAAUGGUGCCCGAGCGUAUGGGAACUCUCUUCCGCUCGAACCGGCCCAUUCGGCGCUGGUCGAACCCCAAUUUUUUUUUACCGGUUGACCUCGGAUCAGGUAGGGAUACCCGCUGAACUUAAGCAUAUCAAUAAGCGGAGGA